CCCCAAAUAAAUGAAAAGUUUUGAAACCCUAGUUCCAAUGAAGCCCCCAAUUCAAUCGAAGACCUAAGAAAAAUAAAAAUACAAAAUGAAAAACAUUAGAGUGAAAAACGAAAUAAAGAAGUUAGUAAAUAAAUUUAAAGGAAAUAUAAACCGGAAGCUCUAGUUCUGUGGAAUGAAGAAGCUCACAAUCGAAGUCCCAAUUGACGACCUGAAACAAAACUUUAAGCGAUUGAGAUGUGAGUUUGAGGGUAGAGGAUCCUUGAUUUACCUAAUCGCCGGUGAGUUUGAGCAGAGAGGUGAGGUUUAACGGAGAGAGGUGAAGUUGAGUGAUAGAGGUGAGUGU
rnacentral:lncRNA from 1 species